UACGAAGGGGGGCUAGCGUUGCUCGGAUUGACUGGGCGUAAAGGGCGCGUAGGCGGUUUGCAUAGUCAGACGUGAAAUUCCUGGGCUUAACCUGGGGGCUGCGUUUGAUACAUGCAGGCUUGAGUUCGGAAGAGGGUCGUGGAAUUCCCAGUGUAGAGGUGAAAUUCGUAGAUAUUGGGAAGAACACCGGUGGCGAAGGCGGCGACCUGGUCCGAUACUGACGCUGAGGCGCGAAAGCGUGGGGAGCAAACAGG
rnacentral:rRNA from 1 species